GCCUGCAUCUAGCUCUUCCUUAACUUGUCCUUGUUUAAAUUUUGUCAUUGUUGUAAAUAUUAUUACUCUUGUUCCAUUAUGUUAUUUUUAUAUAGCUUAUAGACAUUUGCUGUAUUCUUUAUAUACCAGUACUGGUAUUUUUAAGUUGACAACCUUAUGUCUAAAAUCGCGAGUAUAUUUAAAAUGUUUAUAAAGAGUGUACAAGUUGUUAAUUGUUUUGAUAAACUUUCGAUUAGAUUUCGAUAAUUUUGUCGACUUGGAUGUUAUAACGUGAAUCUGUGCGAGUAUAAACGUGACUGAAAUUUAAUACUAGAAUAUGGUUUCUUUCUUUAUCAGGAUAUUGAAUAGGCACAUUAUCAAUAUUAAAGAAUCAUUGGCCCAACAUGCUACAAAAAAUAUGGAUAUAAAAGGCCUUGGUUAGUUUUUAAUAGCGUUUAAUAGGAACAAGAGAUGUCAGAAAAUGAACAUGAAAUGCCUGUGUCUACAGUAUAUAAGAACAAGUUGAAUAGUGCAUGUUAAUUUCAGUUUUUUUACUCUCACUAUGUUUCACUACUACCUGCAUGAUUUAAUUUAACCUCGAUUUAAUGAAUGUGAGAGAGAAAUUAUGUACUUUAAUAUUAAAUUAAUAUUAUAUGUUAAUUAUAAAUAUUAUAUGUUUCCAAAUUUAACCUAUUAACUGGAAGAUUAAAAGAUAUUAACCCAUUGAGCCACAAUGCACCCUACUUAUACAAAAAUAUGACAAUUUAAUGUCUCUAGUUACGUACCAUUGAGAUGCAGUUCCCCCCACUUAAUUUUUUUACUGGUCUAAAUGCCAGAUGAUUUUACUCAUCAGUCGGGAAGCUAUGCAGCUUAAUGGGUUAAAGAGUAUUUGCAUGAGAUCAAUAUAUUCUAGUUGUAAUAAUUAUAGUGGAUUAGCAAGCAACAGCCUAGAAUCAAAUUCAGCCCUGUUGACCAGGAUGAAAUUUCAGCCCUGCUUUACUACUAUAAAAUACCAAUAAAAUUUGUGAUUACAUGACAAAUUUUCAACCCAAAUGAAAAUUCAAGUGAAAUUCCAUCCCGGUUGAACUCACUAGCCCCUGACACUCACAUGCAUAUAUAAUUAACCUUGGGGCUGAAAUCGUCCAUGUAUUGUAAAAAUUUUCCAGCCCAUUCAACAGUGCUUGAUUGAUAUUGAUUCAACCAGGGGGUUGCUAAUGCUUUCUAUAAUCAGUCCUUAAUUGCUUAUGGAUACAGUUAUGUAACAUUGAUGUUUGUUUUUUUCUAUUGUAGUACUUGUAAGUUGUUAAAAACAUUUGUUAUUCAUAUGAACAAAAAUUGCUAUUAAAUUUAUAUUUUGAAUGUUUGGAUUAAUGACUCUCCUUUCUUCCAGCAGUAUUUAUAAGCAAUUUAGGGUGAUUGUGAAUAUAAGAAAGGGUGUGGUAAGAAAAGGUCAAAUCGAAAAUAUUGUUUAAGUGGUUGGACAUAGUUUUUGUCUUUAAAUAACUGGUAUAAAUGUAAUAUCACAUCUGCUGUGAUAUUGUUACCACAUUAAUCUACUAUGGUGCUACCUAGUUAUAAACUAACCAAUUCUCAUGGCUUUAAUGAUACAAAAUAAUCUGAUAUAUCAAAAUCCUUUUAAUGUCUUAAAUUACAAACUCCUGCAUGUGGCUUGAAAUGGACAAGCAUUUCCUCUGUAAAUCCCAUUAUAUAUUAUAUUUAUUAAUCAGAAGAGACUGAUAAGUUCUCCUUGAGGAGCUUUUAAAUAAUAAUUAAAAGCUAUGAUUAGUAU